rnacentral:rRNA from 1 species
AGCGAACGCUGGCGGUAGGCCUAACACAUGCAAGUCGAACGGCAGCACAGUAAGAGCUUGCUCUUACGGGUGGCGAGUGGCGGACGGGUGAGGAAUACAUCGGACUCUACUUUUUCGUGGGGGAUAACGUAGGGAAACUUACGCUAAUACCGCAUACGACCUACGGUUGAAAGCAGGGGAUCUUCGGACCUUGCGCGAUUGAAUGAGCCGAUGUCGGAUUAGCUAGUUGGCGGGGUAAAGGCCCACCAAGGCGACGAUCCGUAGCUGGUCUGAGAGGAUGAUCAGCCACACUGGAACUGAGACACGGUCAAGACUCCUACGGGAGGCAGCAGUGGGGAAUAUUGGACAAUGGGCGCAAGCCUGAUCCAGCCAUACCGCGUGGGUGAAGAAGGCCUUCGGGUUGUAAAGCCCUUUUGUUGGGAAAGAAAAGCAGCAGGUUAAUACCACGCUGUUCUGACGGUACCCAAAGAAUAAGCACCGGCUAACUUCGUG